rnacentral:rRNA from 1 species
CCUACGGGAGGCAGCAGUGAGGAAUAUUGGUCAAUGGGCGCGAGCCUGAACCAGCCAAGUAGCGUGAAGGAUGACAGCCCUACGGGUUUUAAACUUCUUUUAUAAAGGAAUAAAGUGAAGCAUGUGUACCUUUUUGUAUGUACUUUAUGAAUAAGGAUCGGCUAACUCCGUGCCAGCAGCCGCGGUAAUACGGAGGAUCCGAUCGUUAUCCGGAUUUAUUGGGUUUAAAGGGAGCGUAGAUGGGUGUUUAAGUCAGUUGUGAAAGUUUGCGGCUCAACCGUAAAAUUGCAAUUGAUACUGGUAGUCUUGAGUACAGUAGAGGUAGGCGGAAUUCGUGGUGUAGCGGUGAAAUGCUUAGAUAUCACGAAGAACUCCGAUUGCGAAGGCAGCCUACUGAACUGUCACUGACGCUGAUGCUCGAAAGUGUGGGUAUCAAACAGGAUUAGAUACCCUAGUAGUC